rnacentral:rRNA from 1 species
UACGUAGGGUGCAAGCGUUGUCCGGAAUUAUUGGGCGUAAAGAGCUCGUAGGCGGUCUGUCGCGUCGGCUGUGAAAACUCGGGGCUCAACCCCGAGCCUGCAGUCGAUACGGGCAGACUAGAGUGCAGUAGGGGAGACUGGAAUUCCUGGUGUAGCGGUGAAAUGCGCAGAUAUCAGGAGGAACACCGGUGGCGAAGGCGGUUCUCUGGGCCUGUACUGACGCUGAGGAACGAAAGCGUGGGUAGCAAACAGG